GAGAGAGAGAGAGAGAGAAAGAGAAAGAGAGAAAGCACGAGAAAGGAAGUUAACGAGAAUUAGAAAGAGAUAGAAGCUUCGUUGUCGAGGAAGACGACAACGAAAACGACGACGAGGACAAGGACGACGACAAAGACGACCAGGACGAGGACGAGGACGAGGACGAGGACGGAGACAAAGACAAAGACGAACAACAGGACGACACGUCGACGUGGACGUCGACGAGAAACACCAGGACCACGUAUCCGAGGCGAGAAAGUACGAGGAAGAAAUCGAGAAGACGAGGAAGAGGAGGAGAAGGACGACUCGGUUAUCCUGAAAAAUGUCCAGUGUCGUUGUUGUAAUAAAAAUCCUACCGAUGCCGGCCAAAGAAAUCAGCCGGCGAUCGAAUUGGGAAUUCGUCGUCGAAUAAGUACGAGCUAUUUCAAGAGAGUUAUAUUAUAUUAUUAUUAAUUGUCGUGUGUCUUGAAGAAAAUAAUCUCGCGAAGGUGUUGGAUAGAAGAAAGGUGAAGAACAAAAAAAUAUAAAUAAAGGGUGGAGGAAAAGUAAGAAGAAUUUAUUCGUUUCGGGAAAGGGGAGGAAUGUAUAUCGUCCUCUAUGAGAAACGAAAUUUUGAAAUCAUCAGUGUGAGUAAAACAACUCUAUGAAAGAAGAAGAAGAAAAAAACAAAAAAAAGUAAUAAUAAUAAUAGAAACUGGUGUGUCUUAUAACAGUGAACGAAAUUGAACCGUUUAUGAUUCGCGACGCGUUAUCAUCGGUCAUUAAACGAACUAGGAUUUAAUCGAGAAUACUAUUCUACCCUUCUGAAACAAGUCUCGCGUUUAUGGAGUGUUUUCACGCGUUCGAUGCUGCUGCUGCCGCUGCUGAAGCUGAUACUGAUACUGAUGCUGAUGCUGCUGCUGCUGCUGCUAUUGCUACUACUGUUGUUGCUACUAUUUUCUCCUCGUUAUUAUCGAAAAACCAUUCACCUAUUUAUUUCAUUGUGUGAUAUUGUGUUAAUCAAAAAUUACAUCCAUAAUAUUUUUACGUAAUAUUAUAUCGUAAGAAUUAUUAUUAAUAAUAUGAUCAUUAAUAAGUGCUACGAAUAAUUCAUUUUGUGAAAAAGUGACACAGUGUUCUCCAAUAAUAAUAAUAUUAAUAAUAAUAAUACGAGAUAAACGAGAGAGAUAGAAAAUAUUCGAAUAAAAAAAGAAGAACAAGGGGAUAUUCACGAUAAACGUAAAUUUUUGUUGUAUCGAAUCGUCGGAAAGGACAAAAGAA